ensembl:lncRNA
GUGAGUGAUCCCUCCCCCAGGCUGAACAUACGGCGAUACAACCAUUCCUCUGAGGUCGGGUACAUGUUUACCAUUAUAGUCAGGAAGCAAACCAAUGCUGGUUUCAGGGAUUCACUGUCCUGCAGGGAACGAUGCAGGGGCUGUUCCCUCACAGUCCCCUAGGUGGCGGCAAAGGCCUGACUCCAGAAAUAUGAUCAUCCGUUAACUCAUCGAGCCUGUGUUUGUGGUGUAAUGUAAAUGACACGUGUCUUUAUAAACUAAAAUGGAUGUAAUUAUAAAUAACGGACAACGGAUCGGCUUUAGCCAGAAUGACCAUAAGCGUGAAUGCUAACCGUGUGUGUCUUGGUUUGUGGUGUUUCAGCGGCUCCUGACGAGCUGCUGGGCACUGUGGAGGAGGUGGUGCAUCCCUCUUCAGAGGAGGUGGUGAAUCCCUCUUCAGAGGAGGUGGUGCCCUGUACCCGGGAGGAGGUGGUGAAUCCUUCUUCAGAGGAGGUGGUGCCCUCUUCCCGGGAGGAGGUGGUGAAUCCCUCUUCAGAGGAGGUGGUGAAUCCCUCUUCAGAGGAGGUGGUGAAUCCCUCUUCAGAGGAGGUGGUGCCCUGUACCCGGGAGGAGGUGGUGAAUCCCUCUUCAGAGGAGGGGCAGCAGAGGUCUACACAGGCGCUGAGCUGUCCUACAGAGAAGGAGGUGCAGCUGCCUCUUACAGACGCGGUGCUGAUGCCCUCGACCAAGGAGGAGGUGCAGGUCACUCCAUUAGCAGAGGAGGUGCCUUUGCCCUCUUCAGAUGGCGAGGAGGAGCUCCUUCCCUCCAGACUGGAGGGGCCUCCCCUAGCGGAGGAGGUGGUGGUGUCUCCGGAUGAGACGGUGAUGGAACAGGGACCUUUUCCGCGUGUGGGAGAACCUCGAGCAACAGCGGUGGCAGCCAGCAGGGAGCUGGCAGGAGACGAACGUCCAACAGAAGGACGUCCUCUGCAGGGGGCGGGAGCUAGAGGACUCUCCUCUGGACCGGGAACUGAGGACGAAGAGCAGGGAACCCCUGAGAUUCAACCAAUCGCAGCCCCACGGCGGGACGCGGAGGAGCUGAUGGAGAGGCUGCCGCUGGGCUCAGCGGGACAGAGUCUGGAAGCUCAGUUGUCAUCGGUGACCCACCUGUCGCUGGUGAUCCACGACAGCUCGGAGAACCUCACCAACGAGGAGUGACCAAGAGAGGGCGGGGCCAAGGAGCCAUGUGACCCAGGACCACUGAGGAGUGACCAAGAGAGGGCGGGGCCAAGGAGCCAUGUGACCCAGGACCACUGGGGGCCUUUUACUACCGUGUGUGUGUGUGCAUUUUUUCUGACGUUUGUUUUGAAGUUCCAAAAUGUGCCGUUGGGCCAGUGUUUACUUUAUAAUAUACUUUUGUUAAAGCUUUAUUUAACAGGUUGUCUUUGCAUGCAUUGUGGUCAGUCGCCCACCGUUCUGAAUACUGUGAAUGUCUUGCUCCCAUGCUGGUUUCUGUUGCAUACCCUCCCUUUGAAGACCCUUCCUCUCGGAAAUAUGUUCUGGUCCUGGUCCAAUCUCGAAGGCCAUGUUGUUCUUGUAAAAAUAACUUUGUUAUUGUUAAAAAAAGAUUGUAUUUUCCCACGUUUAUUUUCAAGAACAUUAAUUGUUAGUUGAUUCCGGUUUGUCAAAAGACAAGAAAAAUGUAACUUUAAGUUGGCGCAAUAAAUAACAGCAUUUCCUUGAAUAC